UGUCAGUGUCUUGCUCCAGGCUGCUAUAGUCCGUUUAUAGUCAGUUGGGUCCAGCUUCUUGUCAAGAGGAAAUUUGUGGUAACACAACAAUGAACAGUGGAAUACUCUUCACUUACCAGGGUUGCCAAAGGAAAAAGUGAAAUAAUGCAAGCAGUGUGACAGUACUACCAACAUCCAAGCAACCCGCAGCUUUGGUUAUGAAGUAAUGAAAGAGGAGAACUUGCUGUUUUAUUGAGUGAAAGUGAAAUAACAGGCUGCAGUAAAGUUUGCCAGAAAAAAAGAGCUUAAGUACAGUAGCAGCAGUAGCAAAGCUGGUCAGGAAAGUGGAAUAUGAGGAUCUGAUAGCCCCAAGGUUUGCCAAAAUAAGGGGGAAAGAACUUCCAAAGCCUCCUUCCACAACACAGGGAUGAGUGAUGCUCUCUCUGCCUCUUGUUUGAUUGGCAGAGUAAAUGCAUUUACCACAACAGCAAUGCUGGGAGACAAACUACAAGCAACAACAGAGUCAGGAGCUAUGAUUUACUCACCGGUGACAUCAUGGAGACCACAGCUAUUUUUAUUGGAUGGUAAACGGCCAGCAUUUCUCCAUGCUAUGCCACCUGUCCAAUCCGCACCAGUCAACAAGCCCCUGGGAAAAAAAGUCAAGCACCCAAAAAUGAUUGAGAGUUGAAAGGCAGAAUACGAUACAUGCAUGCCAUGCUACUGUCCUAGGCAUGUUUUACAAGUCAAAUGUGUUGUCACUGCUACCGGUUUGCCUUCCAUGUUGGCCUGUGUCAUUCAUUACAGCGAACUGUGUAUCCUAAAAUUCAACAGUCACACACAUUGCU